AUCUGUGAAAUGAGGGAGUUUGACUAGAGC
rnacentral:piRNA from 1 species